GAUGAACGCUGGCGGCGUGCCUAAUACAUGCAAGUCGAGCGAACGGACGAGAAGCUUGCUUCUCUGAUGUUAGCGGCGGACGGGUGAGUAAAACGUGGAUAACCUACCUAUAAGACUGGGAUAACUUCGGGAAACCGGAGCUAAUACCGGAUAAUAUUUUGAACCGCAUGGUUCAAAAGUGAAAGACGGUCUUGCUGUCACUUAUAGAUGGUUCCGCGCUGCAUUAGCUAGUUGGUAAGGUAACGGCUUACCAAGGCAACGAUGCAUAGCCGACCUGAGAGGGUGAUCGGCCACACGGGAACUGAGACACGGUCCAGACUCCUACGGGAGGCAGCAGUAGGGAAUCUUCCGCAAUGGGCGAAAGCCUGACGGAGCAACGCCGCGUGAGUGAUGAAGGUCUUCGGAUCGUAAAACUCUGUUAUUAGGGAAGAACAUAUGUGUAAGUAACUGUGCACAUCUUGACGGUACCUAAUCAGAAAGCCACGGCUAACUACGUG
rnacentral:rRNA from 1 species